rnacentral:rRNA from 1 species
GGAUGCUGCAGUUAAAGGGUCCGUAGUUUGCCGGGGGCGUACUGUGGGGAAAGCGUUCUUCCCGAAGGGGCGAGCGAGCAUGGGACGCGGCGGAGGGAGGAACAGAUGGGGGCGACAGGAUUCGGCAGCUAGAGGUGAAAAUCAGUGACCUGGCGAGGACUCCCUGGGGCGAAGGCGGUGGCCAAGGAUGUGUCCGUUGAUAAAGGGCGAGAGCCGGAGGAUCGAAGAUGAUUAGAUACCGUCGUAGUUCCGGCUGUAAACGAUGCCGACUGGGCGAGGCCUUGUGGCUGUGGCCUGCGAGAAAUCAAGAGUUUUUGGGCUCUGGGGAUAGUACGCUCGCAAGGGUGA